rnacentral:rRNA from 1 species
GCUAGCUACAGGCUUAACACAUGCAAGUCGAGGGUUAGCAUGGUCUUAGCUUGCUAAGGCCGAUGGCGACCGGCGCACGGGUGAGUAACACGUAUCCAACCUGCCGUCUACUCUUGGACAGCCUUCUGAAAGGAAGAUUAAUACAAGAUGGCAUCAUGAGUCCGCAUGUUCACAUGAUUAAAGGUAUUCCGGUAGACGAUGGGGAUGCGUUCCAUUAGAUAGUAGGCGGGGUAACGGCCCACCUAGUCUUCGAUGGAUAGGGGUUCUGAGAGGAAGGUCCCCCACAUUGGAACUGAGACACGGUCCAAACUCCUACGGGAGGCAGCAGUGAGGAAUAUUGGUCAAUGGGCGAGAGCCUGAACCAGCCAAGUAGCGUGAAGGAUGACUGCCCUAUGGGUUGUAAACUUCUUUUAUAAAGGAAUAAAGUCGGGUAUGGAUACCCGUUUGCAUGUACUUUAUGAAUAAGGAUCGGCUAACUCCGUGCCAGCAGCCGCGGUAAUACGGAGGAUCCGAGCGUUAUCCGGAUUUAUUGGGUUUAAAGGGAGCGUAGAUGGAUGUUUAAGUCAGUUGUGAAAGUUUGCGGCUCAACCGUAAAAUUGUAGUUGAUACUGGAUAUCUUGAGUGCAGUUGAGGCAGGCGGAAUUCGUGGUGUAGCGGUGAAAUGCUUAGAUAUCACGAAGAACUCCGAUUGCGAAGGCAGCCUGCUAAGCUGCAACUGACAUUGAGGCUCGAAAGUGUGGGUAUCAAACAGGAUUAGAUACCCUGGUAGUCCACACGGUAAACGAUGAAUACUCGCUGUUUGCGAUAUACAGCAAGCGGCCAAGCGAAAGCGUUAAGUAUUCCACCUGGGGAGUACGCCGGCAACGGUGAAACUCAAAGGAAUUGACGGGGGCCCGCACAAGCGGAGGAACAUGUGGUUUAAUUCGAUGAUACGCGAGGAACCUUACCCGGGCUUAAAUUGCAGAUGAAUUACGGUGAAAGCCGUAAGCCGCAAGGCAUCUGUGAAGGUGCUGCAUGGUUGUCGUCAGCUCGUGCCGUGAGGUGUCGGCUUAAGUGCCAUAACGAGCGCAACCCUUGUUGUCAGUUACUAACAGGUUCCGCUGAGGACUCUGACAAGACUGCCAUCGUAAGAUGUGAGGAAGGUGGGGAUGACGUCAAAUCAGCACGGCCCUUACGUCCGGGGCUACACACGUGUUACAAUGGGGGGUACAGAGGGCCGCUACCACGCGAGUGGAUGCCAAUCCCCAAAACCUCUCUCAGUUCGGACUGGGGUCUGCAACCCGACUCCACGAAGCUGGAUUCGCUAGUAAUCGCGCAUCAGCCACGGCGCGGUGAAUACGUUCCCGGGCCUUGUACACACCGCCCGUCAAGCCAUGGGAGCCGGGGGUACCUGAAGUGCGUAACCGCGAGGAGCGCCCUAGGGUAAAACUGAA